AGAGUUUGAUCAUGGCUCAGAUUGAACGCUGGCGGCAGGCCUAACACAUGCAAGUCGAACGGUAACAGGAAGCAGCUUGCUGCUUCGCUGACGAGUGGCGGACGGGUGAGUAAUGUCUGGGGAACUGCCUGAUGGAGGGGGAUAACUACUGGAAACGGUAGCUAAUACCGCAUAACGUCGCAAGACCAAAGAGGGGGACCUUAGGGCCUCUUGCCAUCGGAUGUGCCCAGAUGGGAUUAGCUAGUAGGUGGGGUAACGGCUCACCUAGGCGACGAUCCCUAGCUGGUCUGAGAGGAUGACCAACCACACUGGAACUGAGACACGGUCCAGACUCCUACGGGAGGCAGCAGUGGGGAAUAUUGCACAAUGGGCGCAAGCCUGAUGCAGCCAUGCCGCGUGUAUGAAGAAGGCCUUCGGGUUGUAAAGUACUUUCAGCGGGGAGGAAGGGAGUAAAGUUAAUACCUUUGCUCAUUGACGUUACCCGCAGAAGAAGCACCGGCUAACUCCGUGCCAGCAGCCGCGGUAAUACGGAGGGUGCAAGCGUUAAUCGGAAUUACUGGGCGUAAAGCGCACGCAGGCGGUUUGUUAAGUCAGAUGUGAAAUCCCCGGGCUCAACCUGGGAACUGCAUCUGAUACUGGCAAGCUUGAGUCUCGUAGAGGGGGGUAGAAUUCCAGGUGUAGCGGUGAAAUGCGUAGAGAUCUGGAGGAAUACCGGUGGCGAAGGCGGCCCCCUGGACGAAGACUGACGCUCAGGUGCGAAAGCGUGNGGAGCAAACAGGAUUAGAUACCCUGGU
rnacentral:rRNA from 1 species